rnacentral:lncRNA from 1 species
GAGGGAUGAGGGAUGAGGGAUGGCCGCGCCGAGCCGGGCGCCCUGGCAACAUCGCCAUGGCAACGGCGCCCUGGCAACGGCGCCAUGGCAACGCGGGAGGGAGGAUGCUGUGCCCCGGGGACCGAGGGGGCCCAGCAGCAGGGCUGGGGCCAGGGCGCAGCCGGGCCAAGGACUCGGCACCUCCAGGGCUCCCCGGGAGGCCUCGGCAGCGCCAAGCUCCAGCCUCAGCCGGGGUGCCCAGAAAGGGGAUCCCAACGGCACCAAGCCAGGGGCUGUCGCCCUGCUUGGGAGCCACGAGGGCAGAAAAAAACAACAAAGCGACCCCUUCCUCCGCCACGCCUCAUUUCACCCGGUCUCAUGAGCUCCUGCAAACAGGUUCAUGCUUCGCCCGGUGCCCGCUGCGCGCACGUCCCAGCCCUGCCCGUCCCGGGGCAGCUCCUCCAGCCGGCUCCGAUGCGCCUCGUGGCCGUGGCACAACAAAUGAGGUCGCUGGGACCAGGGGCACAGACAGCACCGGGGGAACUCCCCCUGCUACGGCAGCAGUCCUCGGGCAGAGCCACGCGCCCACGUGUGAGCACACAUGCGCCCCGAGCACGCACCGCGCUCCCUCCCUGGCUCUCCAGCUCUUUCCAGCCCUGCUGAUGCCGCUGUUUCCACCAUCACAAGCUCAUCCAAAUGUGCGAAGAGCCGUUUCAAGCUGCUCCUCCGCUCCCCUGACCUCCGCUCCGUUCCCACCCGCUCAGCUCCGAGCCAGAGCGGAGGGCAGGGAGAGGCCCUGGCGAGACGGGCCCUGGUGCGGGGCCCAGCGCGGGUGCAAGCGGCGGCAGCACAGGCAGACAUGCAGGAGCGGUGCUGGUUUACACCAACAGCCAGACCCCCGGGGAAAGCAGGCCCCGAGUGCUGCUGCCGUGGGGCAGCCGCGAGCCCCCCAAAGCACCGCCGUGGGCAGCGGGGCCGCCCUCGAGCACCCUCACCCGUAGCAGGGUGUGGAGGGGAGGGGGCUGCAGCAGCCCGGGGCCGACAGCCAUUGACAGCGAAGGCAAAUAAAUCAUCGGCCAGCAGGCUGGGGCGGGAAGGG